GCACGGGGCUGACACUACUUACUUACUUGUAGGCCCCCUUUCCGAUCUCCACUCCACAGUCCUACUCCUACCUACCCACCCAUCCUCCCCGUCCGAGUCUCCAGCCGCCGGAAGAGCAGGGCGAGAUGAGCUCCGGGAUGGGGAAGGUGGUGUGCGUCACCGGCGCCUCGGGCUACAUCGCCUCCUGGCUCGUCAAGCUCCUCCUUCACCGCGGCUACACCGUCCGCGCCACCGUCAGGGACACCGCCGACCCCAAGAAAACAUUGCACCUGCAGGCCCUGGAUGGAGCCAAGGACAGGCUCCACUUGUUCAAAGCAAGCUUGUUGGAAGAAGGCUCUUUCGAUGCUGCCGUUGCCGGCUGCGAUUGUGUCUUCCACACGGCCUCUCCCUUUUAUCACAAUGUCAAGGAUCCCAAGGCUGAGUUACUUGACCCAGCUGUCAAUGGAACACUCAAUGUUCUCCGUUCCUGCAAGAAAGCCUCUAUCAAGAGAGUGAUCAUAACGUCGUCCAUGGCUGCUGUUGCCUACAAUGGGAAGCCAAGAACUCCUGAUGUAGUGGUUGAUGAGACAUGGUUUUCAAGUGCAGAGGUCUGUGAAAAGAAUGAGCAAUGGUAUGUGCUAUCCAAGACCCUUGCUGAGGAAGCUGCAUGGAAGUUCGCAAAUGAUAAUGGAUUUGAAAUAGUUACAAUAAACCCAGCAAUGGUCAUCGGUCCCCUGUUGCAGCCUACACUGAAUACUAGCGCAGAAGCAAUAUUGAAGUUUAUAAAUGGAUCAUCUUCUACAUACCCCAAUUUCAGCUUUGGCUGGGUAAAUGUUAAAGAUGUUGCCCUGUCACAUAUCCUUGCAUAUGAAGUUCCUUCGGCAAACGGAAGAUACUGUAUGGUUGAAAGAGUUGCUCACCACUCGGAGAUUGUCAAGAUCAUACACGAAAUGUACCCCAAUUUUCCAGUGCCAGACAAGUAAAUCCCUUGAAAUCAAUUCGAGAACAGCAGUGUUGGAUAUUAGUUACUCGUUUCUCGUUGAGGCUUCACGGACACUGUGUGCAGAUGACGCACCAUUUGUCCCUAUCUACCAGGUAUCGAAGGACAAGAUAAGAAGUUUGGGUAUGGAGCUGAUUCCCCUGGAGACGAGCCUCAAGGAGACUAUCGAGAGCUUGAGAGAGAAAGGAUUUGUUACUUCUGAGUCAAGCCAUCUAUGAAACCUUCUUUCCUUUGGCGUCACUGGAUGCAUACAUGUUUAUGUACACCUGAAAUAAAUGGAGGCAUAUUGUGCUCUAUGGAUCCGUUGUGUUCUCAUGGAUUCGAGGUUCAAGACGUUCCUCAGAAUGUGGGCAGCCAGGAGCACGCUUAGCAAAUAGAAAGACCCACUACUUAGUGUCGAUGACAUGUUGGUGGACUUCACUCUCUAGUGACAUAUAGUGUGUAUUUCUACAUGAGUUUAUAUGUAUACUAUACUCUAUAGAUAAUUUCUGAAAAUAAUCCAACUGAGAAGGAAAUGUCUUAAGUGGAAACUGGGUCUAAGGGGGAUUCAGUAUUUCCAGACUAUUGAGUAGUGUAAGUGUCAUGACAAUUAUUGGUCAUGAUGCAGUAAUUGUUGGUUCUAGUCAAGCAACAAUUGCACUCCCUAUGGGUACUAUGUGGUAA